UGCUCCAGCCCCUCCUGAAUUGAGGCGCCUAGAACUGGACACAGGACUUGAGGUCUGUAUGAAGAUGGAACACAUUAAAAUUAAGAGUUGCACAAGUUGUAGCUGAACGGACCAUCAAAAACGGACUAUCAAAAACUUUGAUAGGUUCUGGAGCUUCAAGGAAAAACAGGACCAGUAUAAUGAGAUCCACAACCCGUCACAAACACUGGCAGUGCUACUUCAAAUGGCUUCACUUCACUGAUGUCAGCAAGGACUUUGUAUACACAAAUAUGGAGAUUGCAAUCUUGAUCCUGGAAACACUGGAACCUUGAAAUGGUAAAACUGGCUUCUUGUGUUCGGGACAGCUUAAUCCAAUUACAGAUGAGUGAAAGAGAUUAGUUACUUUGAUGAAGUUUGGACCAGUCACUUCUUCAUCUGAUUGAAUAUCUGUUCACCCUUGUGUGUCCAAGGACAGCAGCAAGUC